rnacentral:lncRNA from 10 species
GUAGGUUUUAUAUAUCUCCAUCCACCCACAAAAACUGGUAAGGUUAGUGGUAUUAUUCCCAUUUCAUAAACAAGAAAAUUGAGGGCCAGAGAGGAUCAGUGCUUUGUCCAAGGACACACCGCUGCAAUCCUAAUUCCACUCGUCUGAUAUGAAAGCAGUGCUCUAACCUCUAAACCUUGGCUGCAUCCAGAGGGUCUACAGGGGAUGUCAGAUGUAGCCCCUGCCCUCUAGAUGGUGACCCUGUCUUUGCUCUCCUGGUCUCUUGCCCUCAUUCUCUUCUCUGGUCACUCCUCUCUGCCCCCCGGAACCAGUUACAUAAUGGCUUCGGUGAAAAUACACUUUCCCUCUCAGAUCACAGGUGAAACUCGAAAGCUGCCCAUUCAAUAUUUUCUCCUAAUGAGCCUUCCUAGGCUUCUUGCCUUUUUAGAAUGGAAACAAGCUCUUCGCUGCCAUUCUCCUCAUAUUCAUCAGCUCUGUUUGCUGGCAGGGCAGAAGAGUGAAUGGGCAUCGUAUACAUAAACAUCAUACGAUCCACAGAGGGCUGGCCAGCCCGAGUUCUUAAUCCUGGCUCCAUCACUGACAAUUUGCAACCCGGAGAAGUCACUCUCUCUGUGUUUUCUGUCUCUAAAGUAAAUAAAGGAUAACACACUUUAAAAAUCAAUUGGUGUUCUGAACAAAAAGGAUGGGUGUGUGAAAUGAGGACAACUCUAAGGGGCUGAAAAUACAUUUCCCCAAGUUUUGCAAAUGCUGGAGAUGGUGCAAGCCUUGUCCUACCUUACCCCUCAUCCCCAUCAGCUCUUGGUCUCCUUACCUCCAGGCACCUUCUCUCCCACUCCACCCUCCAAUUCCUCCAGGCUGAUCUUUCCAAAGCAAAAAUCCAGGUGAGUCACUUCUGAUAAUGGCUCUCCACUCCCUUCUGGAGAAAGUCCAACUCCUCUGCUCUGGGUACAAAGAGCUCCAUGUUCUUGCUUCAUCCUUGUCUCUGACCUCACCUGCUGGGCACCCGUCUCUCCCCAAACCCUACAACGCACACGGUUCCCCAAGAGGGCCUCCAGCUUCAUGCCUCAGGGCCUUUGCAUAUGCUUCCCUUUGUCUGGAAUUCUCUUCCCUGGCUAACAUCAGGUAUUUCCCUGCAAGGUCCUGGAAACCCUUCCUAGGCAGCAGACCUGGAGCUCCUCCAGGCCACCUCCUCAGUCCUCCCUGAUCUCCAAUGCAGGGCAGGACCCUGGACAGAGAUGAAUGCUGGAAUGGGAAGCACAGGUGCAAAACCAAAGGCUUCCUUCUGCAUCUCCAGGAUGGGCACCAAUCGUCCAGUAGAUGUGGCUUAGUGUAAAUUUCAGUUCCCAUCCUGGGAUCAAC